UAAAGAAUGUGUUUAUAUAAAAAUCAUAAAACGAGGUAAUUAGUAAAGAGUUUUUAAAUAACCCUGGGAGGACUUGGAGCAAUUGGCAGCCCUGAUCAGAUGAUGGGAAGCAAUGAGAGGUUGGUCAUUCUGAUCGCUAUUACUUGUGGCGACUGGCGAGGGUGGCAGUGGUUGCCAAUGUCUCGAUCUGGUAAGGUGUUCUCGUGGCUCUGGUUGGGUAACGGCGUCCUGCAUGGUUCUCAACAACAAACAGCGAGAACGGAUAAUAAUGUCUACUGAGAUUCCUUGGAAGUCAUCAAUAAUAAAGUCUACUGAGAUUCCGUGGAAGUCAUCAGAAAAAAAAAAAAAAAAAAACAGCGUGAGAAUGAUGCUGGGGGUUGUAGCAAGACAUCAGCUGUUAGCCUAGUGUUACUUGGUCUUGUGUUCAGGAUUUACUUGUUGCACAGGUGGGCAACGUUAUGCUCGAGCCGCUUCCACGUGCCUCGAGCUCCGCCACCCGCUGGCGCCACACCGAAGGGCCAUCAAGACUACUUCAAUGUAGACUUCUCCCGACCAGCGUCCUCAUAUAUAUAAUUACGUGUGUUCUGAGGGGUGUGAGUGGUGUAAAACGGGUAAGGUACCGCAACAUCGCAGUCAUAUGGCGCGUAUUUUCAUUAAUGACGUGAUAUUGAAAGGGAGAAAGUCUUAGAAAUAGUGAUGUGGAUGUAUCUUUACUUACGACUUUUGCUCCUACAACUGCCACCACCAACCCCGCCUUAUCAAUGCGAUGUCUUUUCAGAAGAUUCACUUCGAAAAAGAAAAUAAAAUAAAAACCUAAAAAAAUGAAAACCUAAAGAAAAAAAAAAGAUUGGAAAGACGGCAGCUGCUUUUCCAGAGGUGUUCUCGACCGUCCUCGGUUCCUUUGUUAGUAAUCUACAAAUUUUUUUCUCUCCGACUCGUUUCCAAGAGUUGAACCCCUGGACUUUAAUCAUCGUCCACCGCUCCCAAAUCCUACCUCUGCUUUUUUUUUUUCUUUUUAGUUGUUGAUCAAUAGUGAGUGGCACUUAAUGGCCCAGUUGUUGGUGAACGGCGCAGUAAUAAGUGAUUGGAGUUACACUGCUGUUCAAAGCCAGUGGGAUAGAAUUGCAAGCUCGGUAUGUGGGUCUCAGGGUUUUUUGUACGUAUAUUGCAAUCAUGUUUUUGUAUUGAGUGGUUACCUGAACACCUGUCUAGAGUUUGGCGUGUCUCAUGUCGCCCUUAGAAUGAUGUCGUUGGUAAGCCACUCACUAGUUGUCCCAAAUAAAGCCGGUUCGGGUUUGAAGUGUUCCAUAAGCGAGGCCAUCGUUAGUGCUGGAUAUUGGUUAUUAAAGCCGCGUCCGCUCUUGCCUGGCAGGCUCUGCUCUCUCAUCUACUGAAUUCUGCAAGGGACGUUUAUGUUGCGGUAACUAAAGAGACAGUCAGUAGCCGCUCGCAGGCUUUUUUAUGUUUUGAUGACCAAGAUACGGACGACACCUGAAUCAAGAAAUAUAGCGCCGUUACUAUGAUUGCUGGGUGCGUUAUGAAGAGAAAGAAUGGUAUAAAGAGUGGUAAAGGGGGAUUCAUAUGUAAUUUCGUCUGUCUGGCAACGUCCUCCCUUGAUACCCAGAUUCAAAGUACGUACCUGCCUGCCUCGUGAUUUUGCUGCUUAAGAACAAUGGUAUAAAUGCAUCCUUAGACUGUCGUCAUUAUUUUGGUUGUCGUGGUUGUUGCUUUGGUUGUAGCGGCUGCAGUUGUCAUGAUCGUUUUAUUUUUUCAUUGAAGUCCUAUUAUAACUUUAAAAUGCUAAAUUUUCACCUCCGAACAGGUAUCUUUUACAUAAACAAGGUGUGCAUACAAACCUGGUAACAAAGUUGAUGCUCCCACGCACAUCCUUUUGUCUGCACAAAAGGAUUGAUGCAA